rnacentral:rRNA from 1 species
UACGAAGGGGGCUAGCGUUGUUCGGAAUUACUGGGCGUAAAGGGCGCGCAGGCGGCCCUCCAAGUCAGGCGUGAAAGCCCCGGGCUCAACCCGGGAACAGCGCUUGAGACUGGGGGGCUUGAGUUCGGGAGAGGAGAGUGGAAUUCCCAGUGUAGAGGUGAAAUUCGUAGAUAUUGGGAAGAACAUCGGUGGCGAAGGCGGCUCUCUGGACCGACACUGACGCUGAGGCGCGAAAGCGUGGGGAGCAAACAGG